GACGAACGCUGGCGGCGUGCUUAACACAUGCAAGUCGAACGGAAAGGCCCUGCUUGCGGGGUACUCGAGUGGCGAACGGGUGAGUAACACGUGGGUGAUCUGCCCUGCACUUCGGGAUAAGCCUGGGAAACUGGGUCUAAUACCGGAUAGGAGCCAUUUUUAGUGUGAUGGUUGGAAAGUUUUUUUCGGUGUAGGAUGAGCUCGCGGCCUAUCAGCUUGUUGGUGGGGUAAUGGCCUACCAAGGCGGCGACGGGUAGCCGGCCUGAGAGGGUGGACGGCCACAUUGGGACUGGGAUACGGCCCAGACCCCUACGGGAGGCAGCAGGGGGGAAUAUUGCCCAAUGGGCGCAAGCCUGAUGCAGCGACGCCGCGGGGGGGAGGACGGCCUUCGGGUUGUAAACCCCUUUCGCUAGGGACGAAGCUUUUUGUGACGGUACCUAGAGAAGAAGCACCGGCUAACUACGUG
rnacentral:rRNA from 1 species